AUAUCUACACAAGGCCAAAGCAAGAGAACAGAUAUAUCCAUAACACACUUGGCUGUUCUCUUUUUUUAGCCUUGUGUGGGUAU
rnacentral:miRNA from 1 species